rnacentral:rRNA from 1 species
UACGUAGGGUGCGAGCGUUGUCCGGAAUUAUUGGGCGUAAAGAGCUCGUAGGCGGUGUGUCGCGUCGGUCGUGAAAACUUUGGGGCUUAACCCUGAGCUUGCGGUCGAUACGGGCAUCACUGGAGUUCGGCAGGGGAGACUGGAAUUCCUGGUGUAGCGGUGAAAUGCGCAGAUAUCAGGAGGAACACCGGUGGCGAAGGCG